rfam:Halobacteriales archaeon YIM 93590 16S ribosomal RNA gene, partial sequence.
AUUCCGGUUGAUCCUGCCGGAGGCCAUUGCUCUCGGGGUCCGCCUUAGCCAUGCUAGUCGUACGGGCUCGGACCCGUGGCGAACAGCUCAGUAACACGUGGCCAAACUACCCUCGAGACCGGGAUAACCUCGGAAAACUGAGGCUAAUCCCGGAUAGCGGUCCCAGGCUGGAAUGCGGGGAUCGCGAAAGGCUCCGGCGCUCGAGGACGUGGCUGCGGCCGAUUAGGUAGACGGUGAGGUAACGGCUCACCGUGCCGAUAAUCGGUACGGGGCAUGAGAGUGCGAGCGCGGAGACGGUGUCUGAGACAAGACACCGGGCCCUACGGGGCGCAGCAGGCGCGAAACGUUUACACUGCGCGAGAGCGCGAUAACGGGACCCCGAGCGCGAGGGCAUAUCGCCCUCGCUUUUCCGGACCGUAAUGUGGUCCGGGAACAAGGGCUGGGCAAGACCGGUGCCAGCCGCCGCGGUAAUACCGGCAGCCCGAGUGAUGGCCGCGAUUACUGGGCCUAAAGCGUCCGUAGCCGGCCGGGCAAGUCCGUCGGGAAAUCCGCGCGCCCAACGCGCGGGCGUCCGGCGGAAACUGCUCGGCUAGGGACCGGGAGACCUGCGGGGUACGUCCGGGGUAGGAGUGAAAUCCCGUAAUCCCGGACGGACCGCCGAUGGCGAAAGCACCGCAGGAGACCGGAUCCGACGGUGAGGGACGAAAGCCGGGGUCACGAACCGGAUUAGAUACCCGGGUAGUCCCGGCCGUAAACGAUGCCCGCUAGGUGUGGCGCGGGGUACGACCCCGCGCUAUGCCGCAGCGAAGGCGCUAAGCGGGCCGCCUGGGAAGUACGUCCGCAAGGAUGAAACUUAAAGGAAUUGGCGGGGGAGCACUACAACCGGAGGAGCCUGCGGUUUAAUUGGACUCAACGCCGGACAUCUCACCGGCCCCGACUGCAGUGGUGACGGCCAGGCUGAUGCCCUUGCUCGAGCUGCAGAGAGGAGGUGCAUGGCCGCCGUCAGCUCGUACCGUGAGGCAUCCUGUUAAGUCAGGUAACGAUCGAGACCCGUGCACCUAGUUGCCAGCGGUGUCCACCGGACAGCCGGGUACACUAGGUGGACCGCCGGUGCCAAACCGGAGGAAGGCGCGGGCAACGGUAGGUCAGUAUGCCCCGAAUGGGCCGGGCGACACGCGGGCUACAAUGGCCGGGACAAUGGGUUCCAACACCGAGAGGUGACGGUAAUCCCCGAAACCCGGUCGUAGUUCGGAUUGCGGGCUGGAACUCGCCCGCAUGAAGCUGGAUUCGGUAGUAAUCGCGCCUCAGAAAGGCGCGGUGAAUACGUCCCUGCUCCUUGCACACACCGCCCGUCAAAGCACCCGAGUGGGGUCCGAAUGAGGCCUGGUCACCAGGUCGAAUCUGGGCUCCGCAAGGGGGCUUAAGUCGUAACAAGGUAGGCGUAGGGGAAUCUGCGGCUGGAUCACCUCCU